AAUCGAUUUGCACAUUGUGAACGUUCAUUUGGAAUUUUAUUGGUCGAAAUCCCUCUUUUGUUGGACCCCCGUAAACUUGGUCGCAUUAGUGAUAGUAUCACUACGCUUCGUUCACUUGACUUCGAUUUUUGGAACAAACUCAGCUAAACCGUUGGGUUCUUAUUGAUGGAAAACGACUUUACAUUCAUAUAAUUCGAAUAAGUUUUGAUUUGCUUAUGCGGUCAUUCACUUUGGUAUUAUUCGGACUUACCUAGGAACGACACAACUCUGAGGAGAUAACCUAGUCUAAAUUUUGAGGACGAAAUUUUUGCAACAGGGGGAGAAUGUGACAACCGGUAAUUAACGGCCUCUAAUCACGCGAUUAACAAAUGUUUAUGGCGAUAAUAAAUAGUGUUUAAGACGUAGAUUAACUUAAUUAGGCCUUUGUAGUGCCUAGGAACGUCUACCCGACUUUACAGUGCGCGAACGGUGGUUUACGGAUAAACCUGUUAAACGGAAAACGGCAACGAAUUGAAACCGAAUGAAAUACUGACAACGCCGAAAAGUACAAAUUUUAUACGCAUAGUUUAUAUUUAUAAAUUUAGUUUUGCGAAAUUUUUACGCUUUCGAACGACGCAAAGCGCAAACGUGAACGAAAAACGCGGAAACAGUAAUGCACCGACAAUCAACGACGAAACGGAAGCACCAGACUCGAAUCUCAUCUUGAUAUUAAUAUAUUAUGAUAUAUUUGGCAUCGUUUUCGAAUUUUAUUAUGCGUAGUCUAAAACGAAAUGAACAACGGACAAGAAACGACAAUCGAAGCAGUUUAUGCAAUUUUUAACGCGACCGAUGAUCAAACGCGGCAAACAACGAUUACUUACAUAUCUAUAAACUUGAAAUUUUAAUUUACGACAUUCCGACGAUUUCGGUUAUAAAAACGGGUCUCGUAGAGGAUUACAGGCCACUUAAACACGGGCUUGUGGGCCUUGGGCCCAAGCCCAAAGCCCACUAAACCAAACCUAGCUAUAAAAGGGAAGGUGAAACCCUAACCCUCAUUUUUUUUGUCAGCCGCACAUGCUUGAAGUCCCCCUUGUUCUCUUAUUUGCUCUGCUAAUCAAGAAAUACACACACAAACAUAUGGAGACCAUCUUCUCCAAACCAAGUCCUCAACGACAACCUGCUCUCCUUCUCCAUCUCGUUGAAGAUCGGCCAAGCGACACCCCCCCCAUCUCGAUCUAUACGGCAAAACACACACACACACACACACACACCUGAAAUCAGAGCCAUAACCAUCUCUAAACACAACCACACCCACACAGAUCUGACUAUAGAGAGAGAGAGAGAGAGCGGCGGAGAAGAACCAACAGCGGCAGCAGCGCCGCCGUCUACGGCGGAGCGACGGAGGAGACAGGCGGCAUCGGUGGUUGAUGUUCCGACAACUCUUCGACACGCCCGGUAAGCGACGAUUUGGUGGAUAUCAACAGCAAUAGUGGCGGCGGAGGUGACGUCCGGUCACCAUGAACGGUUUCCGGCGACUCUCAGGUUCCCUUGAUGACGGAUUUGGGUUCGUGAACGGUCCGAUUCAGAUCAACUUUAGGGUGGUUCGAGUCAGUUUGGUUCAGAUUCGGGACACGAGCGGUUCGGGUUUCAUUUAGAUGGAGUCCAGUUUACGGUUUCACGUCGUUCGAGUUUCGGUUCGACAGUCAAAGCCUGUCAAACUUGGUCAAACAAUCAACGGGUCAGAAUCGGGUUCGGGUCAAAAUUUGUCAACAUCAGAUAUGUGUAGCUUCGGUUCAAGUGUUUAAGUUUGGUUCGGGUUCUUGUUCGGUUCAACUCAGAUCUGGGGUUCAAGUAGUCACAUCAGCAGGAUCGGGUCACGGUUCGGUUCGGUUCAACAAGUCAGACUGCGGGUCAAAGUUAGUCAACCACAGGUCAUGGUUCGUUUCGGUCAGAUUUGAUUUCGGGUCAAACUGAGUCAACUCGGGUCUACAGACAGUCAACGCAGUCAACAACAGUCAAUGAAGACCCGGAAUACUAUAGAUGCACGCUAGCUAAUUCACAUUCUUGGAACGACACUACGGAAACACACUAAGCUAGCAUUGCACAGGAACGUCAAGGUUGCAUUUUUCAAAACUAUGGAACGGUUGGAAUAGGAUAACCCACGGGAUUUCGAGUACUUAGCAGGCGUUUAAUUUCUAGAAGUCUUAGCUUAAUUGCUUCCGCUGUGCAAUGAAGAUACCGGUCCAGUCACGCCAAGCUCUGAUAUUUCGGGGUGUGACAUUUAGAGCACAAAAAUUAUAUCCGAUAUAAUGUAUGCAUGCAUUAUAUUGCACAACUUGAUCGUAGAAGAUGGACACGCAAUAAGUAAGUGGUCGGAUGAUGAGAAUGAAGAAGUAGAGCCACCAAACCAUGGACCUACACACGAUUUUACAAAACGCUUACAAAGGUUGAAGGACUCAUGUGACACUGAAGUUUAUCAUACGCUUCAACACAAUUUACUCAAGCACCCAUAAUCUAUUAAAAAACAAUUUUAGGUUAUGUAUGCUUUUUAUUUUUAGUUUUAUGUAUGUUUUUAUAAA